rnacentral:rRNA from 1 species
AUGCACGACACCUUGGGCGACGAGGCCUCCGGCGUCCGGUACCCGCUGCCGUCCCCCUGCUUACUACCGCCCCGCCUCCUGCCGCCGCCGCGCGCCUCGGGCGGCACGAUGGAGACCAUGGGGCCGGAGAAGGCGUUGCGGUGGUUGAAGGACGCCUUGCCGCCGCCGGCGGGGCGGGAGCCGAAGGUGGUGGCCGUGGAGGAGGAGAAGGAGGCCGCCGUGGACCUGAGGAAGGACGCCAGGGCGCCGCUCCUGGUCCUCGCGUGCUUCUUCGGCUUCCUCUCCAUCGCCUGCUUCUGCCGAGACCUGGACGCGCUAGCUAGCUAUAGAUUCUUGGUUGAUCAGCUCGAUGGAUGUUUGCCUUUUCAGCCUUGUCCCAUGUACGGUGUACUGGUCCUGGUUAUAUACGAGGGGCGUUGGCCGGGCACGGGAGGAGGAGGCUGGUUGGUGACGGAGUAA